CCUGGAAACAGAUGCUAAUACCGGAUAACAACAGAUGAUGCCUAUCAACUGUUUAAAAGAUGGUUCUGCUAUCACUCUUGGAUGGACCUGCGGUGCAUUAGCUAGUUGGUAGGGUAACGGCCUACCAAGGCGAUGAUGCAUAGCCGAGUUGAGAGACUGAUCGGCCACAUUGGGACUGAGACNCGGCCCAAACUCCUACGGGAGGCAGCAGC
rnacentral:rRNA from 1 species